AUUGAACGCUGGCGGCAUGCCUUACACAUGCAAGUCGAACGGCAGCACGGGGCAACCUGGUGGCGAGUGGCGAACGGGUGAGUAAUGCAUCGGAACGUACCUUUCAGUGGGGGAUAACGUAGCGAAAGUUACGCUAAUACCGCAUAUUCUGUGAGCAGGAAAGCAGGGGAUCGCAAGACCUUGCGCUGAUUGAGCGGCCGAUGUCAGAUUAGCUAGUUGGUGAGGUAAAGGCUCACGAAGGCGACGAUCUGUAGCGGGUCUGAGAGGAUGAUCCGCCACGCUGGAGCUGAGACACGGUCCAGACUCCGACGGGAGGCAGCAGUGAGGAAUUUUGGACAAUGAGGGCAACCCAGAUCCAGCCAAGCCGCGUGAGUGAAGAAGGCCGUCGGGUUGUAAAGCUCUUUCGGCCGGGAAGAAAUCGCACGGGCUAAUACCCUGUGUGGAUGACGGUACCGGAAUAAGAAGCACCGGCUAACUACGUGCCAGCCGCCGCGGUAAAAC
rnacentral:rRNA from 1 species